rnacentral:rRNA from 1 species
GUGUGCGGCCAUAUCAGAACUAAUGCACGGGAUUCCAUCAAAAUUCCACAGUUAAGCAUGCUUGGGCAAGAAUAGUUCUAAGAUGGGCUUGUCUUAUGACUUUCAUAGAUUCAGGCU